CAACGAGGAGGAAGGUGGUGAGCUUAAUACGCUCAUCAAUUGACGUUACUCGCAGAACAAGCACCGGCUAACUCCGUGCCCGCAGCCGCGGUAAUACGGAGGGUGCAAGCGUUAAUCGGAGUUACUGGGCGUAGAGCGCACGCAGGCGGUUUGUUAAUUCAAAUGUGAAAUCCCCGGGCUCAACCUGGGAACUGCAUUUGAAACUGGCAAGCUAGAGUCACG
rnacentral:rRNA from 1 species